UGGUGGAGUGAUUUGUCUGGUUAAUUCCGUUAACGAACGAGACCUCAACCUGCUAAAUAGUUUAAUGUGGCCAUGGCUCUGUUGGAAAGUUCUUAGAGGAACGUUGUGUGUCUAAUGCAAGGAAGGUUGAGGCAAUAACA
rnacentral:rRNA from 1 species